rnacentral:lncRNA from 1 species
AAAAAGAAACCACCCUUCCCUGUCCAUUAUUUGGUGAUCCUGGCAUCACCACCACUACACUAGAGAGUAUAGAGAAGUGAAAGUAGGAUGGUGGAUGUUAGGAGUCUUAAGAGAAAGGUAGCAGCAUGAAAGGUGUAAAUACACAAAAUCAUCAUCGUACAAGGUUGAAGGUGAUAGACAAGGAGGGGAAACAUCGAUUGAGUAUGAGCUGAAGGAAGAGGCUGCUACCAACGCCACUCUUCCCUGUAUCGCAAUUAUGCACAAAUUACU